AACAAGAUCUUAAAAGCCUAAGUAUUGUAUCCUUGUUAGAAGAUACAAAGACAAAACUCAUACGGACUUCCGCUACACCAUCAAAGCUUUGAGAAUCAAGAAGAAGCUUGGUUAGUGUUUUGGGGUCGAAUAUGACUUGAUGUGAUGUGUUUGAUUGAGUAUAAGAACUUAAACCGCAACCGGAUCUUAAAAGUCUAAGUAGUGUUUCCGUGUUCGAAGAUACAAAGCCAAAGCAUCAU
rnacentral:sRNA from 1 species